AAAGGGGUGCCACAAGGCUGAGAUUAUACCCUCUGAACCUGAACGGAUAAUGCCGGCGAAGGGAUUGUAUCA
rnacentral:ncRNA from 1 species